rnacentral:tmRNA from 14 species
CUGGUUUCGACUUGGAAAUGAAAUACCAGUGGCAUGCAGAGGGUCGGCUGGCCUCUUAAAAAAGCCGAAAAGCCUUAACUGGCAAAACAAAAAAAGCUGAGAUCGUUUCUCUCUUCGGAGAGCAGUUCGAUCAAAGAGCUGCUGCUUAAGACCUAACCCGUCUGUGUAGCCGGUAGUCUGGAAUUGGACCAGGGAUUGUAGUACUACUGUCAUAAAUCUUGGUAUGAGCACAGGUUCUUGACUUCCAGAGCUUAUGUUUCGAGAUUAAAGGAAGUGUGUCAGUCCCUAGUAGGGUGCCUUAUAGCAAGACUGCCACUAAAAUUAAGGUACUAAGCAUGUAGGCAUUGUUAUGGAGUUUGCUAAGGACGAGAGUUCGAUUCUC